rnacentral:miRNA from 12 species
CCGGUACGGGCUGUGGGGGAUG